rnacentral:rRNA from 1 species
GAUUCUGGCUCAGGAUGAACGCUGGCGGCGUGCUUAACACAUGCAAGUCGAACGGAGUUUUAACGGAAGUUUCGGAUGGAAGUUUAGAAACUUAGUGGCGGACGGGUGAGUAACGCGUGGGUAACCUGCCUCAUACAGGGGGAUAACAGUUAGAAAUGACUGCUAACACCGCAUAAUAUAGCGAAACCGCAUGAUUUUGCUAUCAAAUAUUUAUAGGUAUGAGAUGGGCCCGCGUCUGAUUAGCUAGUUGGUGGGUAAAAGCCUACCAAGGCGACGAUCAGUAGCCGGCUUGAGAGAGUGACCGGCCACAUGGGACUGAGACACGGCCCAAACUCCUACGGGAGGCAGCAGUGGGGAAUAUUGGACAAUGGGGGAAACCCUGAUCCAGCCGACGCCGCGUGAGUGAAGAAGUAUUUCGGUAUGUAAAGCUCUAUCAGCAGGGAAGAUAAUGACAGUACCUGACUAAGAAGCCCCGGCUAACUACGUGCCAGCCGCCGC